rnacentral:rRNA from 1 species
CCUACGGGGGGCAGCAGUGAGGAAUAUUGGUCAAUGGACGAGAGUCUGAACCAGCCAAGUAGCGUGAAGGAUGACUGCCCUAUGGGUUGUAAACUUCUUUUAUAAAGGAAUAAAACGAGGCACGUGUGCCUUUUUGCAUGUACUUUAUGAAUAAGGAUCGGCUAACUCCGUGCCAGCAGCCGCGGUAAUACGGAGGAUCCGAGCGUUAUCCGGAUUUAUUGGGUUUAAAGGGAGCGUAGAUGGGUUGUUAAGUCAGUUGUGAAAGUUUGCGGCUCAACCGUAAAAUUGCAAUUGAUACUGGCAGUCGUGAGUACAGUUGAGGUAGGCGGAAUUCGUGGUGUAGCGGUGAAAUGCUUAGAUAUCACGAAGAACUCCGAUUGCGAAGGCAGCUUACUAAACUGCCACUGACAUUGAUGCUCGAAAGUGUGGGUAUCAAACAGGAUUAGAUACCCGAGUAGUC